rnacentral:rRNA from 1 species
GGUACCUGAGGAAUCAGCAUCGGCUAACUCCGUGCCAGCAGCCGCGGUAAUACGGAGGAUGCAAGCGUUAUCCGGAAUGAUUGGGCGUAAAGCGUUCGCAGGUGGUCAAUCAAGUCUGCUGUUAAAGAGUGCAGCUCAACCGCAUAAGGGCAGUGGAAACUGAGUGACUGGAGUCAGGUAGGGGCAGAGGGAAUUCCCUGGUGUAGCGGUGAAAUGCGUAGAUAUCAGGAAGAACACCGCGGCGAAAGC